GGACCCGCACAAGUAGUGGAGUAUGUGGUUUAAUUCGAUGCAACGCGAAGAACCUUACCAGGGUUUGACAUCCUGCGAAUCUCUUGGAAACAGGAGAGUGCCUUCGGGAACGCAGUGACAGGUGGUGCAUGGCUGUCGUCAGCUCGUGUCGUGAGAUGUUGGGUUAAGUCCCGCAACGAGCGCAACCCACGUCUUUAGUUGCCAGCAUUUAGUUGGGCACUCUAGAGAGACUGCCGGUGAUAAACCGGAGGAAGGUGUGGAUGACGUCAAGUCAUCAUGCCCCUUACAUCCUGGGCUACACACGUACUACAAUGCUACGGACAAAGGGCAGCAAGUUCGCGAGGACAAGCAAAUCCCAUAAACCGUGGCUCAGUUCAGAUCGUAGGCUGCAACUCGCCUACAUGAAGGUGGAAUC
rnacentral:rRNA from 1 species